GACAGAGGGUGCAAACGUUGUUCGGAAUUACUGGGCGUAAAGCGCGUGUAGGUGGCGAGGCAAGUCGGGUGUGAAAGCCCUGGGCUCAACCCAGGAAGUGCACUCGAUACUGCCUAGCUAGAGUCCCGGAGAGGUUGGUGGAACUCUCGGUGUAGAGGUGAAAUUCGUAGAUAUCGAGAAGAACACCGGUGGCGAAGGCGGCGUCCUGGACCAACACUGACACUGAUGAGCGAAAGCCAGGGGAGCAAACGGG
rnacentral:rRNA from 1 species